GUUAUUAAAUUCAUAGUCCACAUCAGAGGUUGAUUGCAACUGCAAAGGGUUUCAAAGGGCUAUCCACCGGCGAGCGUCCCCGCCGAGGAAGCAACAAAAGGUACGGUAUAAGCAAAGGGUUCAGGCGGAACAUGCCCAAAGGCGUUCCUCAGGACGGGCCCGAUAGUGUAUCAAGGGCACCGUCCCCGUCACAGGCCAACCUAAGUUGCACUGAUUACCGGUUUAACGUUACCGUUCAACGAUCGUACUUUGACGAUAGUAAUGAUCCUUCCGCAGGUUCACCUACGGAAA
rnacentral:misc_RNA from 1 species